CUCUUCCUGUCCAGUAAAACAACAACAUCUGAACAGUCACACUGGUGACGCAUUUCGUAGGUGCCUCUGUGAAGUGUCUGCUACACCAAGCCCAUAUCCAGAACUCUCCACCUCACCUACAGCACUUGCAGAGCCCUGCACUUGACACACAGGAGUUUAUAGGUGAGGUAUAAACUUUGGGAUUUACCGGAAUCUCAUCCAGUGAGCCAGACAGGUAUCUCUGCACUUGACUCUUCACUUCCGCCACAUGCAUCUCUGAGAGUAUCCCAUUUGAAGCUCC